rnacentral:lncRNA from 1 species
CCCUUUGGAAGCAUGUGCGCUCUUUGGAAGGACACAUGCCCCUGUCUGAAAGAUUCAUGUUUUUUUCACAUGGGUCUCCACUCUCUCACUCUCAUGUAGGAAGUUUGGCUGCUGGAUAACCUAGCUUGGCUGCAUGAGAAGUGGAACUGCCACAGGAUGUCAAAAUGAAAGGAUGAAACAUCUAGGAGAGUCUUCGGUAUGAUCACAGCCCUUGGAGGAAAAAAUGAUUCUUUUAAAAGCACAAAUACUAGAUCAAGGACUUGAUAUAUCCAAGGGAUCUUUUUCUGCCCUGAGCAAGGGUGAAAACUCCAAAGCUCCAAAGCAAUGGAAAUCUCCAGAGAUGUCCACGCCAAAUAGGUUCUUGCCUGUCCUUAUUCAAAAGGCUAUUUAUCCUUCUCAAGGCUUGUGAAGUGAUUUUCAUGAAAUGAAAACCGCUGUUUGCAAAACAAGAAGUCAAGGAGUUUUACUCUGGGAGGCAUCAAAAACAAGAACUGCAAAGUUUUUCAAAAUAAAAUGUUUCAUAUAAGAAAAAAUUGAAAUAAU